rnacentral:rRNA from 1 species
AGAAUGAACGCUAGCGAUAUGCUUAACACAUGCAAGUUGAACGUUGUUUUCGAAUCAGAGUGAGAACAAAGUAGCGAACGGGUGCGUAACACGUGGGAAUCUGCCGAACAGUUUGGGCCAAAUCCCGAAUGAAUAAAAGCUAAAAAGCGCUGUUUGAUGAGCCCACGUAGUAUUAGGUAGUUGGUUAGGUAAAAGCUGACCAAGCCUACGAUGCUUAGCUGGUCUUUUCGGAUGAUCAGCCACACUGGGACUGAGACACGGCCCAGACUCCUACGGGAGGCAGCAGUGGGGAAUCUUGGACAAUGGGCGAAAGCCUGAUCCGGCAAUAUGGCGUGAGUGAAGAAGGGCAACGCAGCUUGUAAAGCUCUUUCAUCGAGUGUGCGAUUGUGACAAGACUCGAAUAAGACGCCCCGGCUAACUCCGCGCCAGCAGCCGC